rnacentral:rRNA from 1 species
CAUGCAAGUCGAACGAAGUAGUAAUACUUAGUGGCAGACGGGUGAGUAACAUGUGGGUAUCUGCCCUUUGGCCUGGAAUAACACGAGGAAACUUGUGCUAAUACUGGAUAAGUCUUUACAGAGAAAGCUUUAUGCACCAUUGGAUGAGCCCGCACUUGAUUAGUUUGUUGGUGGGGUAAUGGCCUACCAAGACUGUGAUCAAUAGCUGAUUUGAGAGGAUGAUCAGCCACAUUGGGACUGAGACACGGCCCAAACUCCUACGGGAGGCAGCAGUGGGGAAUCUUGCACAAUGGAGGAAACUCUGAUGCAGCGAUGCCGCGUGAGUGAAGAAGGCCCUUGGGUUGUAAAGCUCUUUCGUCGGGGAAGAAAAUGACUGUACCCGAAUAAGAAGGUCCGGCUAACUUCGUGCCAGCAGCCGCGGUAAUACGAAGGGACCUAGCGUAGUUCGGAAUUACUGGGCUUAAAGAGUUCGUAGGUGGUUGAAAAAGUUGGUGGUGAAAUCCCAGAGCUUAACUCUGGAACUGCCAUCAAAACUUUUCAGCUAGAGUUUGAUAGAGGAAAGCAGAAUUUCUAGUGUAGAGGUGAAAUUCGUAGAUAUUAGAAAGAAUACCAAUUGCGAAGGCAGCUUUCUGGAUCAUUACUGACACUGAGGAACGAAAGCAUGGGUAGCGAAGAGGAUUAGAUACCCUCGUAGUCCAUGCCGUAAACGAUGUGUGUUAGACGUUGGAAAUUUAUUUUCAGUGUCGCAGCGAAAGCGAUAAACACACCGCCUGGGGAGUACGACCGCAAGGUUAAAACUCAAAUGAAUUGACGGGGACCCGCACAAGUAGUGGAGCAUGUGGUUUAAUUCGAAGAUACGCGCAGAACCUUACCAACACUUGACAUGUUCGUCGCGACUUUAAGAGAUUAAAGUUUACGGUUCGGCCGGACGAAACACAGGUGCUGCAUGGCUGUCGUCAGCUCGU